rnacentral:rRNA from 1 species
UACGUAGGGGGCUAGCGUUGUCCGGAAUCAUUGGGCGUAAAGCGCGCGUAGGCGGCCCGGUAAGUCCGCUGUGAAAGUCAAAGGCUCAACCUUUGAAUGUCAGCGGAUACUGCCGGGCUAGAGUCCGGAAGAGGCGAGCGGAACUCCUGGUGUAGCGGUGGAAUGCGCAGAUAUCAGGAAGAACACCAACGGCGAAGGCAGCUCGCUGGGACGGUACUGACGCUGAGACGCGAAAGCGUGGGGAGCGAACAGG